CGGAUUAGAUACCCGGGUAGUCCUAGCCGUAAACGGUGGGUGCUAGGUGUGGGGGACGUAUGUUCCUCUGUGCCGCAGCUAACGCAUUAAGCACCCCGCCUGGGGAGUACGACCGCAAGGUUAAAACUCAAAGGAAUUGACGGGGCCCCGCACAAGCAGCGGAGCAUGUGGUUUAAUUCGAUGCAACGCGAAGAACCUUACCAGGGCUUGACAUGGUCGGGAAAACCGUAGAAAUACGGUCCUCCUUCGGGACUCGAUCACAGGUGGUGCAUGGCUGUCGUCAGCUCGUGUCGUGAGAUGUUGGGUUAAGUCCCGCAACGAGCGCAACCCCUGUCCCAUGUUGCCAGCGAGUCAUGUCGGGGACUCAUGGGAGACUGCCGGUGACAAAUCGGAGGAAGGUGGGGAUGAUGUCAAGUCAUCAUGCCCCUUAUGUCCUGGGCUACACACGUGCUACAUUGGCCGGUACAGAGGGCUGCAAACCCGCGAGGGUGAGCGAAUCCCAAAAAGCCGGUCCCGGUUCGGAUUGAAGGCUGAAACUCGCCUUCAUGAAGGCGGAGUUGCUAGUAAUCGCGGAUCAGCAACGUCGCGGUGAAUACGUUCUCGGGGCUUGUACACACCGCCCGUCACACCACGAAAGUCGGCAAUACCCGAAGCCGGUGAGCUAACCCCUCGGGGAGGCAGCCGUCGAAGGUAGGGUUGAUGAUUGGGGUGAAGUCGUAACAAG
rnacentral:rRNA from 1 species